UACGUAGGGGGCAAGCGUUGUCCGGAAUCAUUGGGCGUAAAGCGCGUGUAGGCGGUUCAGUAAGUCUGCUGUGAAAGUCCAGGGCUCAACCCUGGGAUGCCGGUGGAUACUGCUGGGCUAGAGUACGGAAGAGGCGAGUGGAAUUCCCGGUGUAGCGGUGAAAUGCGCAGAUAUCAGGAGGAACACCGAUGGCGAAGGCAGUGUUCUGGGCCAGUACUGACGCUGAGGAGCGAAAGCGUGGGGAGCAAACAGG
rnacentral:rRNA from 1 species